AAAACAAGGAAAAAGUGGGAAGAAAGCAAAAGAAAUGGAAAAAUGAAAUCAAUUCAUGAAGAUUUUUAUCAAACAAUCGAGCAUCUGUAACCUGUAACAAUCGUUGUUAACGGAAACAUGCGUUUAAUUUACAAUUUACAACUAUAGUACUCUUUACAUAGUAAAUGAAUUUGACUCACGUGUUAUUUUUCCAAUAUAAUAAGAUGACGAUGCUUUCAAUGAAACAGAAGUGUUGAUACGUGAGAGCACAUUCAUCCAUCGAAACUUAUUCAAUGUGUUAAUGGUUUGAAAAUUCUAUAUCUAAAUUAUAUUUUAAUGAAAAGAAAGGUUUUCUUUAGCAGAGAA